CAAUAGCGUAUAUUAAAGUUGUUGCAGUUAAAAAGCUCGUAGUUGGAUCUGUGGUGUGCGGUGGGCUCCGGGCACUUGUUGUCUGAGUAGCUCGCCGCUGCCAUCCUUGGGUGGAACCUGUGUGGCAUUAGGUUGUCGUGCAGGGGAUGCCCAUCGUUUACUGUGAAAAAAUUAGAGUGUUCAAAGCAGGCUUAUGCCGUUGAAUAUAUUAGCAUGGAAUAAUGGGAUAGGACUUUUUCGCUAUUUUGUUGGUUUGCGCGAAGAGGUAAUGAUUAAUAGGGACAGUUGGGGGUAUUCGUAUUCCAUUGUCAGAGGUGAAAUUCUUGGAUUUUUGGACGACGAACUACUGCGAAAGCAUUUACCAAGGAUGUUUUCAUUAA
rnacentral:rRNA from 1 species